rnacentral:rRNA from 1 species
AAACUAACAAGGAUUCCCCUAGUAACGGCGAGCGAAGCGGGAAGAGCUCAAAUUUGAAAGCUGGCACCUCCGGUGUCCGCGUUGUAAUCUCGAGACGUGUUUUCCGUGUGGCGCUAUGGACAAGUCCCUUGGAACAGGGCAUCGUAGAGGGUGAAAAUCCCGUACUUGCCAUGGAUGUACCAUGCUUUGUGAUACACGCUCUAAGAGUCGAGUUGUUUGGGAUUGCAGCUCAAAAUGGGUGGUAGACUCCAUCUAAAGCUAAAUAUCGGGGAGAGACCGAUAGCGAACAAGUACCGUGAGGGAAAGAUGAAAAGCACUUUGGAAAGAGAGUUAAAAGUACGUGAAAUUGUCGAAAGGGAAGCGCUUGAAGUCAGCCAUGCUGCUUGAGACUCAGCCUUGCUUUUGCUUGGUGUAUUUCUCGGUAGCAAGCCAGCAUUGGUUUGAGUCGUCGGAGAAGGGUACGAGAAAUGUGGCAUCCUCGGAUGUGUUAUAGGCUUGUACUGGAUACGACGAUUUGGAUCAAGGAACGCAGUGUGCCUCUGGCGGGUCUUCGGACACCUUCACACUUAGGAUGCUGGCGUAAUGGCUUUAAGCGGC